CAUCUUUUCUUGUUAGUUUUUGAAGUAUGGCCUGCCCACUGACUUAGAGUUGAAGGGCCGCGGUAUUUUGACCGUGCAAAGGUAGCAUAAUCAUUAGUUCUUUAAUUGUGAUCUGGUAUGAAUGGCUUGACGAGACAUAAGCUGUCUUAGAAGUAUUGGUUUAUUGAAUUUGGUUUUUGAGUUAAAAUUCUUAAAUGUUUUUAUGGGACGAGAAGACCCUAUAGAGUUUGACAAUUUUCCUAUUUAUUCGUUGUUUGUUUUAUUUACAUUGAGUGGGAGUGAAUUGUUUUGUUGGGGUGAUGGGAGGAAUAUUGUUUAACUCCUCUUUGUUUUUAUAUAUUUAUGUAUAUAUUUUUGAUCCAUUUAUUUUGAUUAUAAGAUUAAAUUACCUUA
rnacentral:rRNA from 1 species